rnacentral:tRNA from 1 species
AGGCGCGUAGCUCAGGGGGAGAGCGCUUGCUUGACAGGCAAGAGGUCGGCGGUUCAAAACCGCCCGCGCCUACCA